AGCCAAGGCGACGCCCACCGGGAGCUAUCCCGGCGGGCCGCGCGCACGGCGGCGUUUGAAUGGCUGUGCGUCGGGCCCGGCGGGGCCGCCGACGGACUCUCUAGGCUGCCGGGCGCGGUCCGUCAUCGCCGGGGCAGGGCAGAGGCGCCGAGGUACCAUGAGGCGCAGGUAUUUAAGAGAUUAUGGCAUCUGAAACCCACAAUGUUAAAAAACGGAACUUUUGUACUAAUAUUGAGGAUCAUUCCACUGAUCUUCCUAGAAAAAGGAUCUCUAAUUUCACCAAUAAGAACAUGAAGGAGGUUAAGAAAUCUCCCAAACAUUUGGCUGCUUACAUAAACAGAACAGUUGGACAAGCUGUGAAAACCCCAGAUAAACUACGUAAGGUGAUCUAUCGCAGAAAGAAAGUUCAUCAUCCCUUUCCAAAUCCUUGUUACAGAAAAAAACAGUCCCCUAGCACUGGGGGCUGUGACAUGGCAAAUAAAGAAAAUGAACUGGCUUGUGCAGGUCACCUGCCUGAAAAAUUACGCCAUGAUAGUCGCACAUAUUUGGUUAAUUCCAGUGACCCUGGCUCUUCACAGACAGAAAGCCCAUCAUCAAAAUAUAGUAGUUUUUUUUCUGAGGUUUCUCAGGACCAUGAAACAAUGGCCCAGGUUUUAUUCAGCAGGAAUUUGCGAUUGAAUGUAGCUUUAACUUUCUGGAGAAAGAGAAGCAUAAGUGAACUUGUAGCCUAUUUGGUGAGGAUAGAAGAUCUUGGAGUUGUAGUAGAUUGCCUACCUGUACUCACCAAUAGUUUACAGGAGGAAAAACACUAUAUCUCACUUGGCUGCUGCGUGGACUUGUUGCCUCUAGUAAAGUCAUUACUUAAAAGCAGAUUUGAAGAAUAUGUAAUAGUUGGUUUAAACUGGCUUCAAGCAGUCAUAAAAAGGUGGUGGUCAGAACUGUCAUCCAAAUCAGAAAUCAGAAAUGAUGGAAAUAUUCAGAUUUUAAGACAACAAUUAAGUGGGUUGUGGGAACAAGAAAACCAUCUUACUUUGGUUCCAGGAUAUACUGGUAAUAUAGCUAAGGUAAUCUCUGUUUUUCUCUUUAAUAUUUAUUUGAAAGGAAGAGUUACAGAGAGCGAGAGAAAUAAGAUCAUCCAUCCACUGAUUCAUGCUCCAAAUGGCCACAAUAGCCAGCGUUGGGCCAGCCCAAAGCCAGGAGCCUGGAGCUUCAUUUGGGUCUCUCAUGUGGGUGCUGGGAUCCAAGGAUUUGGGCCAUCCUCUGCUGCUUUCCCAGGCGCAUUAACAGGGAGCUGGAUCGGAAAUGGAGAAGCUGGGACUUGAACCUGGUACACGGUAGUGCUGGCCCAAUCUACAUUUAAACUUAAAAAUUAGGCAUUAAACCAAGAAAUAACAUAGGAUACAUUUGUAAAUGAGCUCUUCAGUUUCUAGACAAAAUAAUUGAGUACUGUUCUAACAAGGUGUUAAGUCAAUUUAUUUCUCUUAUUUAUUUAUUUAUUUAUCUGAAAGGCAGAGCUACAGAGAGGCAGAGUCAGAGCAAGGUCUUCCAUCCACUGAUUCACACCCCAAAUGGCUACAAUGGCUAGAGCUGGGCCGAUCUGAAGCCAGGAGCCAGGAGCUUCUUCUGGGUCUCCUAUGCGGGUGCAGGGCCUAAGCACCUGGGCCUUCUUCUGCUGUUUUCCAAGGCCAUAAGAGAGCUGGAUCUGAAGUGGAGCAGCCAAGUCUCGGACUGGUGCCCAUAAGGGAUGCCGGUACUGCUGGUGGCAGCUUUACCUGCUAUGCCGCAACGCUGGCCCCAAGUCAGUUUCAUAUUUGCAAGUGCUUAAAGUCCUCUGGAUGUGAGUGUGACCUUGGCAGGAAGAACAGGAGUUAUCCAUUGAAUGUUUCAUAUACAGCCACAGAAAUACUAUGCCACAGGAUAUUUAAUGACCUAGUUCUAAUAGAAAAAUAUCUGAAGAAAAAUUAAGAAUCCAAAUAAGAGCAACAUCAGAAGGAAACAAGGGAUGAGGAAUACAUUCAGAUGGGUUUAGAAUGUUAAUUUUUACUUUGCUUUUGCUAAUAUGUUUUUUUUUUGUUUUUUUUUUUUGAAGAUUUAUUCUAUUUACUUGAAAGAGUCACAGGGAAAGACAAAGAGGGAGAGAAAGAGAGAAAGGUCUUCCAUCCGCUAGCUCACUCCCCAAAUGGCUGUGACUGGGCCAGGCUGAAGCCAGGAACCAGGAGCUUCCUCAGGGUCUCCCAUAUGGCUACAGGGGCCCAAGGAAUUGGGCCAUCCUCCACUGUUUUCCCAGGCACAUUAACAGGGAGCUGGAUUGGAAGAAAAGCAGCCAGUACUCAAACCAGCAACCAUGUGGGAUGCUGGCAGUGAUUUAACCCACCAUGCCACAAUGCCAGCCCUACUAAUAUGCUUUUUGAAAAAGUAACCUUUAAAUCACAGAAUGAAUUGGACAUUGGUCUUUAUUGAUUUGCUUGUCUUUUAAAGGAAAAAGUACAUUACUAGUUGGGAUUUUGGUAUUUAAACUCCAGAAAAACAUUGGUAGUUAAAAUAUAAUUGCAAAAAAAAAAAAGUUAAGAAAUAUUUCUGCCCUAUUAGUGGGCACAUUGCUAUCAUAAAUGGGCAUUAGCCAGGAAUAGAAAGUGAUAUUUGAUUUAAAAAAUUUAUUAAAUGUAGUUUAAUUUAUGUCAUACACUAUUAAAAUUCUUUAUGGAUACUUCCAAAAAAGCAAGAUGACCUCAAGUUUACCACUUUGUAUGAUUUUACUGUAUGAGUUCUUUUUUCUUUUUAAGAUUUAUUUCUUCAUUUGAAAAUCAGUUAUAGAGGGAGAGGGAGAGAGAUCUUCUGUCCACUGGUUCACUCCUUAGAUGGCUACAACAGCCAGAGCUGGAUCAGGCCAAAGCCAUGAGCCAGCAAUUUCAUCCAGGUAUCCCACGUGGGUGGCAGGGGUCCAAGUACUUGAACCAUCUGCCAUUGCUUUACCCAGGCCAUUAACAAGGAUCUGGAUCAGAAAUAGUGCACCCGGGAUAUGAGCCACUGCCCAUAUGGGUUGCUGGCAUUAUAGACUGGAACUUUACCUGCUACCCAAUGUUGGCCUCUACUAAAGAAUUCCUAAUGGUGAAAAUCUUAGGAAUCAAUUUCUAGAAAUAUUUUGGUUGUUUUAGGUUUUUAAAGUAUACAUACCACAUCCUCUUGCUUGGUAGGAGCUUUUUUCUUUUUUCUUUUUUGGACAGGCAGAGUUAGAAAGAAAGACAGAAAGACAAAUCUUCCUUCCGUUGGUUCACCCCCCAAAUGGCUGCUACAGCCGGCGUGCUGCGCUGAUCCAAAGCCAGGAGCCAGGUGCUUCCUCCGGGUUGAUAGGAGCUUGUUUUCUGGAAUAGAAAUGAAUAAUUAUUUCUUAGAAAUUUGCUUUUAAUUAUAAUUCUUUAUAAAGGGAGAAGCUUUAUUGUGAACAUGACUUAAAAUACUAUGUUUAUUAUUGAAGACUAUACUAAAGUGAUUUAAUAGUUCAAAGUGAAGUUCUUUAAGUUACAAUGAAAACUUUAUUACAAAAUUAAGCUCUCAAUUAACUUGUAAGUUUCUGAGAGCAGAAACUGGAGAGUCUAUUAUGAAACUGGCCUUGAGUUUAUAUAGCUCUAAAGGUAAGGUAUUCCUGUGAAUGCAAACUUAUUUGAGCACAGGAACCAAAACAUUGUCUCAGCACUUAGCAAACAUUUAUCGAGUGUGUGAUAUGUCCCAGGCCCUGUACCAAACAAAAGCAGAUAAAAAGUUGAGAAGAACACUCUUCAACUGUUAAAAGAUCACAAAUGGAAACUAAGGCAGCCAAAAAGGAAAAUAAAAAUGUGUUGUUUAUGUGUAUUUACUAUACUGGCUAAUGAAAUGUUUCUGUUUUAUCCUCUAAGGAUGUAGAUGCUUAUUUAUUACAGUUGCAUUGAGAGAUUUCAUCUACUAAACAGCAUUUGGUUAUUCGAGACAUCCUGGGACUAUAGGAUUUCCAAAAAUAGGUCUCUUCUGAGAACUGUGAACUGUGGAAGAAAUCAAAAUCAUUUUUUCUUUUAAAAAGCCACAAAUUGAAACCACUAAUGAAACGCUAACAAUCUACUUCACAUUGAAGUGGAAUAGUAUCCAAAAGGAGCAGCUUCAACUUCAAUGAGGUGAAAGUGCACUAUGAAGAUUGUUCGCCUUUGCUGCAUUCGGGUCUUUAGAUUUCAGAUAACUGCUUCUAUGAGAGGUGAAUUAUUUAAGAAGUCAUUUCUCAGGAUGUGGAAUUUGGACCAUAAACCUGUGUCAUCUCUGUGAAACCUUGAGAUGAUGAAAUAUAACUUUUGUUCGUUGUUGCUGUGCUUUAGUUAUCACUGUCUUAUCUAACAGUUUGAACCAGUUAACUUGGUUGGAGUAUGGUGCUAUGAGGUUAAGGACAGGAAUUUAAUCCUUUUUUAAGUUCAUUAACUUUACAUACACAAACACAGAGAAACAAUUUUACAAUCACAGAGUUCACCUUUCCUCCAGUACUCAUCUUGCAUUCAUUUCAAACUGAAAAUCAGUUCUGGGUCACAAGGAAGGUGACAUAUGGAGCUUAGCAUAAAAACCUAACUUCAAAUGGAAAGAUAAGUCAAAUUAUUGGUAUAUAUGAUACUGCAGACUUCAAAAUAAUAUAUUCAAAAUAAGAUAUGUAAAUUCUGUGUAAUGUUUAGUUUCACAGUAUUGAAUAAUAGGUCAGAUAUUUUCUGUAUUUGUCAAAUCAUUAAAUAGUAUCUUCAAAAAUCAACUGUUAGAAAAACAAACUGCUAAAAACCAAGUACAAAUGAAAUAGAGUAAGAAAAAGUAUCUUGUUAACACUGAAUUCUUGAGCUUAAAUUUAGGUUUCUUGAAGGCGGGAAGACAAUGUUCCAUUUUAUAUACUCUGAGUUAUAUAAGCCAGCAGUCUUUAGCUCACAAACAUUAGUAGCAUACACUCCUACUUUGUGUUCCUGGCCUUUGCAGUUUACCUUAGUACCUACCUCUCUCAGUUACUGAGUUGUGAUGAUUCAGUGUUUUUAAGAUUCUUGGAUAAAAGAUGUUAGGUAAGUAUUUUUGAAUACUCUGUUGCUACUAAGCUCUUCUCAUGCUGUAGCAUUUCAGUUAGAACAGUGUUGAUCUCCAUAAAGAGCCAAAGAGUGUUUAUAAAGUGUUUUGACUGUUACUGACCUAGAUUGGGUCAGUUGCUGUCUGUCAUUGCUCAUUUGUUGCUGUGCUACUAAGUAGUAUACAGAACUAAAGACCUAGCAAGGUGUCUAUGCCUUUGUUAGCUCGUCUGCCUUCUUAGAUAGUCCAUAUUUGACUUUGCAAACUUUACAAGUAUAAGGAUAGGUAGUUUAUUGUGGCCAUAGAGGAUUAUAAUCAAGGAAUUUACUUCUAUUAGGGAUAUGUGAAUGGCUGUUAUGAGUGAUCAUAAUCACAAUAAAGGUUAAAAGUUAGGAAGUAUUUUCAAAAUUUUUUGGCAGUGAUUUUAAAGGUAAUUUGCACUAUUUACAUAAAUUCUAAAAUGUGACAUCUAGGAAAUAUAUAUUUAUGUCCAUUUGAGAAGUCAUAAAUAUCAAUACUGUGCUAUGAGGGCUACAAAGGAAUUAAUUCCAAAAAUCCAUACUUGUUACAUGUCAUGUCCUGACCUUAAAUAUGGUUCUAUGGGUUUAAAACUGUAUUUCUGGCCUUUGAGAUGGUAAUUUUCUCAAACUUGGAACAUUUCUGUAUUUUGUAAGUUACUGACAUAUUCAACAUUAAUGGAUAAUUGAAGAUUAAAUGAUUCCUGUUAUCAUUACUCAUUAGUUCAGAAAUUCUUAUUUACUUAAGCAGUCUGGAAAAGCAAGAUUUAAGUUAAUAUUUCACCAGUCAUUCCCAGUUAUCUUUCUUCUUAUUUAAGAACCAAAUAGUAUUAUUCUUUUGUGAUUAAAGAAAAUAGAAUCACAAGCAGCUGAGUCAGCUGGGUGAUCCAUUUGCACAUGCUGCUUAUCACUCAGUGCAGAUUUUUAUUUUCUGAAUUCAGGUGAAAAUAGAAUUGCUGGACAUGUGUUGGUAGCUCUUUACUCCUAUGAUAGUCAUUCUCCCUUUCUAAUUCUUCUAGUCAUGAAAAUUGUCAUAAAACUUUGUGACACGUUACCCCUUCUCUUUUUUAAUUCUAUAAAGGGAGCAUAAAAUAAAAAUAUCCAUUCCUAAAUACUGUACACUUCUUAAUACAAUUUCAUGGUUCAGUAACAGUACCAAAUACAGUAACAAAAAUAAACACUCUAUAAUGAAUAACCUGUAUUUGAAUACAUAUCUACAAUGAUAUAUUUAAAGUCAUUUUUAACAGUAUCUUCUAAAACUUAAUAAAUAUUAAAUGCACCUAAAAGUAAAACAAUGUAUCCCACAGUAUUUUACUACUGUGAAGAGUCAUAAAAUACAAAACAACAGUUACUAUGUGCCCAAUAAUUCCAUGAAAGGUCAACCCCACAGCCACCAAUGAAUUUUUUUUUGACAGGCAGAGUGAGAGAGAGAGAAAGGUCUUCCUUCCGUUGGUUCACCCCCCAAAUGGCCGCUAUGGCCAGUGCGCUGCACAGAUCCGAAGCCAGGAGCCAGGUGCUUCCUCCUGGUCUCCCAUGCGGGUGCAGGGCCCAAGGGCUUGGGCCAGCCUCCACUGCCUUCCCGGGCCACAGCAGAGAUCUGGACUGCAAGAGGAGCAACUGGGACAGAACCGGCACCCCCAACUGGACUAGAACUUGGAGUGCCAGCACUGCAGGCGGAGGAUUAACCUAGAGAGCCGUGGUGCCAGCCCACCAAUGUAUUUUUAAUAGCAAAGCUUGCUGUAUAUUAUUGCUUUGACAUACAGAUUAAUCAUUCUCUGGACUAAGAAGUUUUCAAAUGAGAGGUCCUAUUAGUCCAGAUGAGGUUUCAACUCCCCAAAUGCACUUGGGCUAGCACUGAUCUAAAGUUCUCAGUGUUUUGUUUUCAGUUCUACAUGUCCUGAACCUGUCCAGUACUGUUUUGACACUGGAUUUGCCUGAAAGCUAGGAAGAGUUUAUCCAGAGUAUUUGAUAAGAACUAUUGUGGAAAUACUGGCACACAUUAAACUGUCAAAAUUACUUGCUUCCAGAAUUGCUCUACUGAACUUAUUAACCAAACCUGCAAUAUGAAGCUUGGAUUGGAAUUAGACCUGACCUUCCAGGAGUCAGGAGCAGAGUUAGCAUCUAUUUACUUUUCUACUUCCAUUUUUUUUUUUUAAAGAGGAAGAAAGAAAAACUCAUUGGCCCGUUGUAUAAACCUGAACAGUUGAAUGAGGACCUCCUGCCUCACCUUUCUCUUACCUUGUAGUACACUUGCCAGGCCCUCUCUGUACAUCUGCAGCCUUGCCUCAACACAGAAGGAUAUGUGAGAAUUAAACUCUUCUUGAAGCCAAGUUUUAAACUCAUAAGGAGUUUGGAAAAGGCUAAUCCUCUCCCUUAGUGGCCCAAAUUCCUUUUUUCCUUCUCAAGUAGGUUUUAAGUGAUCAAGGGGAGAAACCAAAUCUCUUCACUUCUUCCCUCAAUUAUUCUUAGGCUAUAAAGAGUACCUUCCAAGUUUAAAAACUCAAGUCUGUUAUAAGUUAUUUCAGGUGAAAAAAUUUUACUCCAAGAUUUUGUAUAGUUUGUCAACAUGUAUUCUGUGUUCUCUUGAUAUGAAAAUGCUUUGUUUUAGACUCAGCUUCCAAGGUGUGUAUUAUUUUGGUUUUGUGGCCACCUCUUUUUUUUUAUGUAUUUCAAAUAGUUAGAGUGGCAGAGACAGGUCUUCCAUCUUUUGGUUCACACUCCAAAUGACUGCAAUGGCCAGGGCUGGGCUGGGCCGGCCUGGGCCAGGCCAAAGCCAGGAACCAGGCACUUCUUCAGGAUCUCCCACGUGGGUGCAGGAACCCAAGCGCUUGGGCCAUCUUCUGCAUCCCCAGGUGCAGUAGCAGGGAGCUGGAUCUCAAACCAGCACCCAAAUGGGAUGCUGAAGGCAGCAGCCUAAUCUGCUACACCACAGUGCUGGCCUCUUUCCUCUUUUAAAGGCUCCUCCGUCUGUCCUUAGACAUUGAUGUUCUUGAGAUUUCUAUUGUGAAGGCUCUGCUCUGCUCUGCUCUGCUCUGCCCUGCCCUGCCCUGCCCUGCCACAGUGUCUGAAAACACGUCAUUUAUUCCUAUGACUUUGUUAAUUGUCCUCAUUUGGGAGCUGGAAGGAAAACUUUUUUUUUUUUUGGUUGAUCAAAUAGAUGAGUUUUUGAAAGGUUGAGAAAACACUGAACUGUGUUCAUUCUCAAGUAUCUUACCCUAAGCCUACCUCUUAGCUCUAAAAUAAUGCACAUGCCUGGAUUUUAAAAGAUUUUUACACGAAGAUAAAUGUAUUCUUUAAUCCUAUUUUUCAUGAAGUUUUGAAGUACCCUUGUAUAUUAUAUUGCCGCUUGGAAGCACUUAUUGGGAUAUCUUAGACAUCCUGAAUUCAGUAUACCCAGAGUUGACCUUAUUUUUUACUUCUCUCUUCCAUCCAUUCUGCCCCCAAAAUGCCCUUACUGGAUGCUAGGUCUCUAGUCUCAAUUAAUAGUCCUAAUACCAGCAUUUGUCAAGCUACACACCUGUGGAUCAUCUUUGAAUCAUCUCUGAAUCAUUCAUUAAAUCUUAAUGGAGCCCCCUAAAUUUUUCUCAUCUCUACUCUUUCCACCUUUUUUGCCAUUAACCUAAAGGAUUUCGUACAUUGUUCUAGCAGCCUCAUAACUAGUCUCUCUGGCAUUGGUCCCGCACCUUUUACAACCCAUUCUCACACAUUUCACCCCAGAACUGUUCGUAAAGCAUAAAUCCUGUUGAUGUCACUCCUUAAGGCUUCUUAAGAAGAGUCUGCUAAAAAAAAAAAUCCAUUUUCUGUUGCUAUAACAAAAUACCUGAGGUUGAGCAGCUUAUAAAGAAAUUGGUUUCUCACAGUUCUGAAGGCUGGAAAGUCCAAGAGCAAAGCAUCAGCGUCUGCUUGCGGUCAGAUGAGAGCUUUCUUUGCAUGUCCUAACGUGGCAGAGGUCAUCAUCUGCUAGAGAGGAGUGUGCUAGCUCAGGUCCCUCUUCCAUAAAGUUGUUAAGGCAUCGUGAGGACUCCACACUUAACAACUUAGCGUAAUUCCAGUUACCUAUUUAAAAGUCUGCUUCUAAAACAUGAGUUUGAGGAUUAAAUUUCCAACAUAGGACCUUUGGGAGACACUUGUUUAAGAUUCAUUUAUCUAUUUGAGAGAGGUCUUCCAUAUACUGGUUCACUCCCCCAAAUGGCUGCAACCACCAGAGCUGCACCAAUCUGAAGCCAGGAGCUCUUUCUGGGUCUCAGGUGGGUGUAGUGUCCUAAGGAAUUGAGCUAGCUUCUGCUUUCCCAGGCCAUAGCAGAGAGCUGGAUCAGAAGUGCAGCAGCCAGGUCUGGAACUGGUGCCCAUAUGGGAUGCCAGCAUUGCAGGCAGCAGCUUUAUCCACUGCUACAGUGCCAGCUUCAGGGGACACAUUUAAUCUAUACUGUGUGCUGUGCUCUGUCAACACCUCCCUGCCAGCCAGAAUCCACUUGUUUGUCUCUGUAAAGUGCUGUACAUCCUCUGCAGAAGCUGUAUCGGUCCCAACGCAGUUGUGAGAAGCCACUGCUGCAGCCUCAACUGGUGGGUGUCCGGGUGCAGGAGUGUGUCUUGUAUUCAUCAGCACUGUUCUGUUCUUACCAGUGUGUGCGGAUACUUUUAAUCUGCUCAGCUAGACUGAUAACUCUGUGAAGCCAGAUAAUGUUCUCUGUUACACUCCAGUAGCUAGCACAAAGGCUAGCAGAUAGUUGGCAUUUAAUUUGAAAAAAGCAAAUGUGGUAUGAGGAAGUAAUUUAUUAAUGCAGAAGUAUUUAUGUUAGCAUAGCAUAGCAGCAAAAAUGAGUAGUUCUAGAAUAAAAAUUUCUAGCUUCUCAUUUUUUUGUUUUGGGAAAUUGAUUUACAAAUGUUCAUGCUAAAACUCCUUAGCUAAAAUUUUCAACCCAUGAGGUGAUUGUAUUUGUCAUUCUGUUGUACGGUUUCUAUAUUCCAUCAACUUAGGUCCUGAGGACCAUUGGCAGAGUGUGGAAUUGGGGCAGGCAGUUGGCCUAGCAGUUAGGACACCACUCAAGUUGCUCUCACCCACGUCAGAGUGCCGCUUCCUGCUAAUAUGCACUCCGGGAGGCAGCAGGUGAUGGCUCAAGUGACUGCUCCCACAGGGGAGACCCAUAUUGAGUUUCCAGGUCGUUGGCCUGGCCCAGUGCCAGCUGUUGUGUUUAGGUAGGAAACCAGCACAUGGGAGUGCUUGUGCUCACUCUUAUGAAUAAAAAUAAAGGUUUUUGUCCAAUGUAAAAUUGAGAUAUUGUCAUGUAAUAAGUGAAAUUAUACAUAAACUUUCCUAGAAUUGAGAUUGUCCUUGGUGUUUUCUACUUUAAAAGUAAUAGAGAAUUGUGUGAUAUAAUAGUGGUUUUUUUUCUUAUGUCUCUUUAAAAUUACAAAAGUAGUUCAUACUUUGAAAACAGACUAACAAAGAUACAUAAUCUUAUCUACCCAGACACAGAGUGUCUAUCCUUCCAGAUUAUCUUCUGCAUGUAUUUGUAUUUUCAAGCUAACUGGAUUUAUAUUCUAUAUGUUGAUACUUAGUAAAUUAUUUCCUACAUUACUUACCCUAGAAACACUUGAGGGUAACUAAAUACUUUGACUAUUAAAGCCAUAUGUUCUUAGCAAUUACUGUUAAUUUUUUUUAAAGUUGAAAGCUUUUCCUUUUUUUUUUUUUUAGGUUUAUUUUUUGAGAGGCAAAGUUACAGAGAGAGGGAAAGACAGGUCUUCCAUCUGGUGGUUCACUCUCCAAAUGGCUGCAACAGCUCAAGCUGGGCCGUUCCAAAGCCAGGAACUUCAGUGCAGGGGCCCAAAUACUUGGACCAUCUUCCACUGCUUUCCCAAGCCAUUAGCAGGGGGCUGGGUAGGAAGUGGAGCAGCCGGAACUCAAACCAGUGCCCAUGUGGGAUGCAGGCGCCAUAGGCAGAGGCCCCCACUGUACCACAUCCCUAGCUGCUACUGUUAAUUUCUUCGGAGAAACUGGAAGAUGCCAAAUAAGUGCUUUUGAAACAUUCUUAGUACAGGAUUCUGUUCUCGUUGACCUUUGCUAAUUAUUACCUUCUCUUCCCCGCCCCACUACAUGUCAGGAAGAGAGCCUAUAAGGAAAAAAUAGAUUAUUUCUGUAUUUUAAAAAGAAACAUCGUUUAGAUUUGUUUGAAUGGUCUUAAUUGGAAGAUUUCAACUUAUACUAUGGCAUAUUUUCUCCAGCCAUCAAACAUAAUCUUCUGAAUAAGUAGCUCUGACCAUAUGUGUAAGAGUAAAUGCACCAUGGCACAGCAGGUUAAGCUGCCAGGUACUCUGCUGUGUGUCCAGCUUCCUGCAAAAGUACCUGGGAAGGCAGCAGAUGAUGCUGGAGUGCUUGGGUCCCUGUCACCCAUGUGGGAAAUGUAUGGAGUUUCAGGCUUCUGGACUUGGCCUAAUCCAGUUAUGGUGUUUCAGGCAUUUGGGACGUAACCCAGUGAAUGGAAGAUUUCUUUCUCUCUCUCAUUCAAAUAAGUAAAUUUUUAAGAAAUAAAAUGAACAUAACCUUUAGCAAUGCUCUGAAUAUUGAGUCAAUAUGGAACUAAGAGUUGAUUUUUUUAAGAUUCAGUCCUGUCCAAAAAUGCUAAUUUCCAAUUACCUUUCUUAAGACAUUUUUUACAAAGAAUUUAAUGAGGUGUUUCUAACUGAACUGUCCUGCUUAAAUUAAUAUUGUAUAGAUUCUGUGUUCUUUAAUCAUUGUAUUGUGUCUUGGAGUAAAACCAGUGAUUGCUAGAAACAGAAAAAUCAGUGGUAAGUAGUAGAAACUGAGAUAGGUAAAGCAAAUAAUUACAUACUAUCCUGUGCCUAACCGGUUGCCAUAAUCAGCCAUAAGAAUUACUGUGUAUUUCUGUAGGGUAAAGGAGAGGGGUGCACUAACGACUCAUUGAAUGCACAUCUCUAGCAUACUAAUAGGCAGAGUUCCUCAGCUUUCAUCAGCUCUAGGAGCACACAAAGAAGCAUGUAAGUGUAUAUUUUAAAGAGCUAUAAUAAAAUGCCAUCUUCUGCAUUCAUGAAGUUACUGGUGAUUUUAACCUGGUAUAGUUUUGUUUUUUUUUUUUUAAAUAAAACUUACAGUUACUAAGCCAGUUAAUAGGAAAACAGUUCAACGGAAUUAUUAGUACUCUUCUAAUUUAAAAAAUUAACAUCUUUGUCCUUUUUUGAUUUCUCAUAUAUGUACUUUUUAGGGUAAAAAAAAUUGGCUUAUUAAAGUAACUGCAUACAAGUAUAGCAAUUAAACAAAAUGAACCUAAUAUAUUAGGCUUUUAAGAAUGUCUGAUAAUGUUGAUUGAGGGCCAUGCUAUUGCUUGCUUAGUCUAAUAUAAUCAUUUCUGCUUUCUCAGAUUCCAUGUAGUUAGAUUAAUGACAGCAGUGAUUUCAUUUUAUAAAUCUUCAAAAUGGGAAAUAGCAAAAAUUGCUUUAAAAGUUUCUUAUAACUUCCAAAUGAUAAUUAGAAAUUAUACUUUAGAAACAUUGAACUAUAGUUAUUGUCUAUAAAUUUCUAUGAUUAAAUAUUGAUAGGUUUAGAAUUGAAUAAUGAAAAUUAUAGUGGUCAUAAUAAUUGACAUGUGCUUGCAGUAUUCUUUAAGAGUAAUGUUUUAGAAUACUGUUAUACCAUGUUUCUCCAGAUUUGCUUGGACAAAUGAUACACUUUUGUAAUUUGGACUAAGUGAAGCUUAAAAGACUCCUUUUUCUGUCUUUGUUAGAUGAUGAGACAUAAUUUGUUGAAAUUAUAAGUUGAUAUGGGAAUUGUAAAUUUGUGUUUAAAUGAUGUAUACCUUAGUGCUUUUGUUUUAAAUCCAAAUGUUGCAUUGACUAGUGUGGUAUUUGAGAAAGUACGUUAUUAUCUUUGAAAUAAAAUAUUUUAAUUAAAAGAUAUUUAUAAAAUAUAUACAGCUUCCAUGAGCUCCUUGUAGCAGCUGACAUACCCCCCAUUUGUCAUAUCACAUGUGGUAUGAAUUUCAAGUCUGCUGCUUUUAUCUCUUGAUCAAUCUUUUGUUCCAUCUUUUAAGAAUAAAGCAACAACUGACCAUAUAGUAAAAAGGGCGUUCUCUGGUACAUUCCAGUAAUGUUUGUUAGAAGUGAUCCAAGUAAAUUGUAAUACAGAUAGCUUAGAAAUAUGUGAGGGCACUAAAAAAAGUUUGUGGAAAAUGGAAUUAAAUAGAAAUGUUUUUGGUGUGGACAAAUUUUGAAAUCCAUGCAUAGUUUCUUGAAGACCUUUUGUAUGUACACAAUAAUUACCAGCCAAAUAGAAGAUACCAAAAAGAAAAUUUCGUUGGUUCAACAUUCAGCAAUUACAUUGUAACAAGUGCAAGUAUGUAGAACAGAAAAUUAAAGUUGAAUCUGUAGAAUGUUUUUUUUUUCCAGGUUGGGCUAAUACAAAGCUCUUUUCUCCUGUUAGUCAUUCUGAUUAUAUAUUCUCUGAAGUCAUGUUUCAGUUUUCCAAAAAAUUUUAUUGGUGAGUUGGGAAGGUGGUUUUAUACCCCAAUGAAUGUUAACAGGUGUGGUUGAGAUUAUGUCUGAAGUUCUGUAUUUGCUGCAGUGGUUGUUUUGGGAUGCUAAGCACAGGCAAGAUGUUAGCUGGUUAAGGUGGUGAAACUGUCUACUACCAUCAACAGAUUACUCCCUGUAAGUUUGUCAGUGUUAAGCACAGAAGUUAGGUACAGUGUCUGCUCUUAAAAUGUUCUGAACUAAUUUGAUUCUAAAACCAUACAAAUAUAAAAGAGUUUGAAAGUCUUUUAUUCUAUAGUUUUAGAAAAAUCCAGAUCUAAGCAAUUUCAUACUCAAAUGUAAAAAGGUAGUGUUUUCUUUUUAAAACCAGCUUUUUUUUCUUCAUGUACUACAUGUUACUUUUUACCAGAUGACUGGCUGUAAAAGAGGGAAGCUGUAGGUCAUGGUUUGAAUAGGUCAAACUCAGGUAAUCACUAGGUUCAAUAGGGAGUUUUCUGGCUAUCCCUGUUUAUUUCUAAGUUAGCUGUCUGAUAUUCAUACUGAUGUAUAUAGUUCAUUGUCCACACAGUGUGAUGUCUGGAGAGUGGUGGCACCGAGUGGAUUAAGGUACAACUUUCAAGAGAAGGUUGUUGCCUUCUCCACAUGUCAAGACUGGUAGAAUGGGUCAGUUGUUGGGAAGGUUUCCUUACGAGAAAUUCCAAUUGCAACUCCUCUUUUCUCUUGUUUGGGUUAAGAAUUUAAAAUUAUUGCCCAUUCUAAUGUUCUUUGGUGUCAUGCCAUUGUUAGUUGUGCUGAAAUAAUGAGUCUGUUGUUCAGCCUUUAAUAACUUAAAACCUGAGGUAAAUGCUCCAUUGCAAGGACAAAUAUAAUUCCCAAAGUUUUGCUAAAAAUAAAGGUUUUGCUCCUUCAA